GCAUGGAAUAUCAUAAGGUCAAAAGUUAAGGUGCUCUAGAAGAAUAACUAAUGAAACAUCAGAUCUUAGCCUGCAUGGAUACAAAUUGAAAGAGAAGGGCAGCUUUGGUACAGUGUUUUGGGGAAGACUGACUGCUAUGGGAGAACAGUUCCCUGAGAGCCUCACCCAGUCAGGCCAAUGAGGACACAUUUGACUGUUACUGCUGGCAUUGACUGGUGAAAACGGGCACUUUGUGGGCAAUAGGAAAUGAGCCACUAGAAAUGGAAACAUUGAAAACAAAUGCAAGAAUGGAGAUAACAGAAGAGGCAACCUAUUAGACGACAUGAGAUGGAAUGUUUGAGUAGGUAAGAGAUUAGCCAUAGUAGGAAUAAAGGGUUGAAGGAUGUGAGAGUGGCA
rnacentral:lncRNA from 1 species